rnacentral:rRNA from 1 species
GAUGAACGCUAGCUACAGGCUUAACACAUGCAAGUCGAGGGGUUUGCUUCGGCAAACGACCGGCGCACGGGUGAGUAACGCGUAUCCAACCUGCCUCUCUCAUUGGGAUAGCCCUCCGAAAGGAGGAUUAAUACCGAAUAACAUAAUGUGUUUGCAUGAAUUCAUUAUGAAAGCUCCGGCGGAGAGAGAUGGGGAUGCGUUUCAUUAGGUAGUAGGCGGGGUAACGGCCCACCUAGCCGACGAUGAAUAGGGGUUCUGAGAGGAAGGUCCCCCCACACUGGAACUGAGACACGGUCCAGACUCCUACGGGAGGCAGCAGUGAGGAAUAUUGGUCAAUGGGCGCAAGCCUGAACCAGCCAAGUAGCGUGAAGGAUGACUGCCCUAUGGGUUGUAAACUUCUUUUAUAUGGGAACAAAUGUUGGUACGUGUACUAAUUUGCGUGUACCAUAUGAAUAAGCAUCGGCUAACUCCGUG